GUCGGACAGCCUCACAUGUUGUGCUGCUGCGAAAUUGCUUUAUUUAAUGACUAAUGAGAAUUUUUUUUAACAACAUUAAUUUUGUCCGAGAAAAAACAUAACAAAAAUCUAUUUGAAAUAUUUUAUUAGCCAGGCUAAUAAAAUAUUUUGAAACGUGACAGUCUACAUUUAGGAAGGAGUAAAGGGGCCAAAUAAUAAAUAAAUAAAUAAAAUUAUUACGAGAUAAAAUUUAAAACUAAAUAAAACAUCAAACUUAGCUGGGAGAUACGACAGAGCAUUAGCAUAACUCAUUCUAUUGAUAAUAAUUUGAUGAAGAUGAGGCAAGAGAAAAAAAGUCGAGCUAUUACUACGAGAAUGAAUGUCGGAUUAAUAGUAUGAGAAUAAAAAUCGUAUUAUUACGUAAGGCUAAUGUAGCUGAAUAAGCAGCUACAUACUUCACGUUGCGCGUUGCCGCCUCCUUUAAAAUCAACAAUAUUGAAAGCAUCUUGUCUUUUAGAAUCGGUUUAACAAAUAAGGAAAUCCUUAAUAUUUUGCCUCAUCUACAUCAAAUUAUGAUCAAUAGAAGGAUUUAUACUAAUGCUUGUCGUCGCACUCAGCUCCGUUACAUGUACGUAAAAUGUGUAGCUGAUUUCAGUGACAUUACCCCUACUGAAUAUUAGCCUGUUUUUCCUCGUAGCAAUAGUGCGACUUACAUUGCUUUUCUUUUUCUUUAUUUGGCCUGAAUAUGCAAUGCAUUACCACAACAAUAAUAGUCCUUCUGUUAACGGACCCUCUUUCAAUGGCAACGUAAAUCUAUUCGAAAUACUUCAAAACCCUCAUCUGAAAUUACUACCAGUGAUAUCAGCAACAAACAAAUUCUAUGCUAGGACGCGACGAUCCGUGUAAAACACACGCCAAAAAGAACCUAAACGUCAUGUCAAUGUCAAUAUUAAGGUCGUUUUCACAGGUUUAAACCAGAGUACAUUCUUUAUCUUGAAAUGCCUUUCUGUGGAUUUUUCUCCUGACUCCGCGCCAACAUAGUCAGACUCACGUUUGCAACAGGAGAACCGAUGUAGUUUACAAAAUAAAGUGUGUAAAGGAACAAUUUUUAUUUGAUGUGCUAUUUCAUACGCCUUCUGGCAAAUGGUGUGUAAAUAAUGAGCUAUAGAUAUUCAUUUAGACGUAUUUUUAUAUUAUACAAAUAAUACAUUAUAAUGUAUCUUUAAAAAAAAAUCUUAGCAUGGAAAUGUGGCUUUUAUUUUGGUGUGGCAGUGCGCCACAAUGUUUUUUUUUUUUUGUAAACUCUGGAUGUCAUUAACUCAUUCACUCCCAGCCAUUUUCACCAGAGCAAGGCCCUUCGCUCCCGGAUGUUUUACUGGAUUUUGACUGAUUUUACAAGGCCCACAGAAAAUUCUGUUCUAUUGCUAUAUAAACAUGGAACCCACCAAAAGAAAGAUUAGACUCUCUUUCAACAGAAAAAAGUAAGUUCAUAUCUUUUUCCAUUCUUUACGAAUCAGUAUUAGAAAAUAGCUUAGUUUGGGCAAUUUUCCAAUUUCUGAUCAAAAAACAGAGAAAUUGAGCUUUUUGUGAAAGCAUACAUUUCAAACAUAACUUUGACUUUAACAUAGCUAUUUUUUGCUUUAGUUACAUCCCAAACAUCUGAAUAAUGUUUUCCUUUUACAAAAUAUCAUAAAGAACAAGACAAAUAGAGCUUUUGAUAACAAAGUAACAAUUUAUUUACACGCAACUAACUGAGAGAUGACGCUGUUGUCGCCGAGAUGACGCUGUUGUCGCCGCGACAGCCGGGUAAGCCUUUCCCUCAUUGUUGCCUGUCUUAUAAAGAGGAUUUUUUUGAGUCUCUGCGGGGUCUGUUUGGCGAGCAGCACGGACGGAAACAGCAUCUUCCGCUGAACCGGUGGUCCCGGUUGUUCUGCUCGGUUGUCCACCGCCUGGCAUCCCGGGCAUCCUCUUGGUUGUUCUGCUUGGUCGUCCGCCGUUUGGCAUCAUUCCACUGGCGCUCCGACCGUGGGGCCUAGCCGUUCGUUGCCGGUGAAUCGGGUUGUGGGUCUUACCAAAUGCGCUACUGCCCUCCAGUGGCCAGUUUUAAUGCUUUAACAUUGAUUUUCAGCUUUGUGCUUUGGAGCUCAGUUGAAUCAGGACCCAGAGAUGUCUUUUAUAAAAAAAACAAAAUUAAAAAAAAUGUAAAAGACAUAUACAUACGUCUUUGGGACAGUGAAACAAUAAAAAAUAGAACGUAUUUAUAUGUUUUUGGGAGCAAAUGAGUAAAGUGUCAUCCUGCAAAUGUUGUCAGUUUUGAAUGGGUGUAAAAGAUGUGGACUGGACAUAAAUGGAUUUAGUGACAAAAUUUGCAGGAUGACAUUUAAUGACAAUUUCUAUUCUAUUCUGUUCUAUUCUAUUCUAUUCUAUUCUAUUCUAUUCUAUUCUAUUCUAUUUAAAGCUUAAAAACCUCCUUUGGUCACAUGUAUCAGGCCAAUAACAGCCUGCUUUCUUUCCUUCCUUCCGUCCUGCCCUCCCCCUUUCCUUCUUUUCUUCCAUUACUAAAACCAGCUUUUAAACCUUGUUUCCAUCGCAGAUCUGAUUUUUUUGUUCAAUAUAUAUUUUUUUUCACAACCUCCUUUUUUUCCCCCUCUUACCUUCCUUCUUCCUUUGCCUUAUUUGCUGGCUCUGGACCCACUUUUCAUUUUCUACUAUUCUUUGCUUUGCUUUAAACUGCUUUUAUGUGUGUUUUUUUUUAUUUUUUUUAUCAUGACUUUAACAAAGGACUCCUUAGAAUGCACUUUGUUUGUUCUUGACUCAAAAGAAUUGCUUUAAUGCCUGGUACUAGCACAAAAUAAAUCAUUGUACUUUGAGAACACCCGGAUAUACAAAGGUAUCAUCUGGACAACUAUCUAACCUGCCCCCCGCCUUCCGCUAACUGAACGAGAGUGGCCUAUUUCGGCGACCUGGAGAUGAAUGGAAAAGGCAGGGAUGUUUUCCUCAAAUCGUGGUGUACUCUUGCGGUUUGGAUGCCGACUCACUAAUUGAAACAAGAGGCCGCAAUGUUAGCUAAGCCGCAGCUGUGUAACUCUUCACCCCGAUCGCACACUCGAGCAUCCUCGACACAAAUCCCUAGCUGCUUGUUUUGGACUGCCAAGGGUCUGAGGGAUGCCAGCGUUGCAGGUAAGCAUGACGGAGGCCCGAGUGUGAAAACUCUUCAAAUGUAUCUCCUCUCACAAUGAUAGAAAGCCAACACAGCCAGAUGGCACGGCCCGUGGGAUUCUAGCAAGUCUCUGGAUGGCUGGUAGGAAGAUGGUGCCAUGUGGUGGGUCGCCCACUCUGCCCCUCGGUUGCCUUGGCUUGGUGGUGGUCAUCCAGGCGUACAUCGGCCUGCCAAUUAAAGGCGUGCCUACAGUCCUGCCAGAAGCUUCCUCGCAGCCCUCAUCUUGUUUUCGUCUUCUUAUUCACAUGGCAUCGCUGGCUGAGCCCCUGCUGCUGUUUACGCCGCUUCACUCUGGGUUGCUCAUGUCCAUGGUUAUUAUUUUUUUUAAUUCAUUCCUGGACCAAAAUAAGAAACAAACUGAAGUUGGCACUGUAACGCCUUAAAGAAUAUACUAACAAUUCCAGAGGAAGCGUUUUCUGGCUUCUGAAGUUCUAACAGAGGUGAAAUGUUGCUUAUGUGUACUGUAGGCAUGGGCGGACAUCAGAUUCUGACCGUAUGAUAACCUUGAGCAAAAAUAUUGCAGUGUUACGAUAUCAACAUGAAAGCUUUAAAAUCUAAAAAAAAAAAAAGGGUUUAUUCUAACUGCUUUUUUCCAAUAGUGGCUUCUUUGUUGAUAAACAGGAACGACCGUGAAUUGUAAUACAUGCUGGCGAACACUGGAAGUCCUGGGAUUUUUUGGCUAUAAAGAAAUCCCACAAAGGUGUCAAAUGACCCCAAUACCAAACUGACUACUUGGUUUUGUCAAACAAUAGACCACUCAAACAAGCAAUCAAGCAGCCUAGGUGUGAAGGGGGGGGUCACCCUGGAUAGCUGCAAUUAGCAUCUUGAAUAUUUGCAAAUCCAGACUUGUUAACUCCUGGGUUAGUGUAAAAAUGAUGAAAUGGUUAUGUGGCAUGAAACUAUGACUAGCAUCCAUAACUGUAGCUAAACCAGACUGUCUACAUUUUAGAAAAUUGAGUGUUACAACAAGUAGGGCAAAUCCCAUCAACCACCUUUACUUUGUCUUGACAAGUCCAACAUUCUGUUGUCAAGGUUCACAGUUUAUUAUGUUGAAGCACACAAUAACCAAAGAACUUUCCACUGCAGCUCAAACAGCUGUUUUGUCACAGCAAACACAAGCUUCAGUAUACUGUACAUACGAUAGGCAAACUGCAGCUUUUGGAAUAUGUAAAAAGGUUGUCCCCCCGACUGCCUGCCUGAGCGGUCCACUGUCCAACAAAGCCAAGGCAGCCCUGCCCUGCAAACACUCAAGAUGGUAAUUGGAGCAAUCCAACCCUGUGGUUUUGGGAGUGUGAAUAGGAAUGAAUAAUGAGGACCUCAGUGCUCACAAAAGAUAUGUUGAUUAGGGUCAGAUGACCCUUCUCUGGUUACAAAAGGGAUUUGUAUCAACUGAUCCACCCCUGGUAGUUCUAGUGUUAAAGGACAGAUGAAGAGUUCAAUUGUUGAGCGUUUUGUUCGUUUAAAUUGUAUUGAAUGCAUUAUUCGCUGUGUCGAAACUCAUAUUACAAAAAAAAAAUAAUAAUAAUAAUUGACAGUGUAUUUUUUUGAGUUACUGCCAUAGCAAUACCUUAGCAAUGAGGGACGUGCCUUGCUGCCAGCCACUAUCUGAUUAAUUAAUGUACAUAAGACCUCGCCAGCACUCCAACAUGAAAGUAUACUACUACGAUAUCCUCGCCAUAUAUUGCAAGAGUUCCUGGGUCUUACUCGGGAUUUUCGUCAUGUAAUCUCGAUUCGUAGUGAUGAAUUGCUCGAACGAAGGCUCGAGACUCAGACGAGAGAGAAUCAGUUGCCCUAAAAGCCUUCUUCUGCAAGGAUUUGGACAUCUUUUCUGACAGUUAAGCAAAGGAACUUCUCCCCGGUUGCUCGAUUGCUUCUUUGUCUUCAACAUUUCAACAGGUUUCAAAGCCUAGGUCCCUAGGAGAAUACAACCGUGGUUUACCCUUACUGGCUUUUGUAAUUCUAAAAUUUCAUACAAAUCUGUUUAUAUGGUAGGGCAAAUCCCACUGUCUGUUCGCUGAAGUCUCAUAAGUAGAUAGGGCAGCUGACAGGUCGUCUAUUCAUGUGAAUUUGAUACAUUUAUUCCUAGAUCUAUAUAACUACUAGUCUGUUUCUGGAAUUACUGAUAUCUAAGAAUGACUGGGGAAAGAAAGGUUCAGAGAGAAAUCACAAUACUAGACAUAGGCUUACCACUCUUCCUUUCGUGAUGUGUGAUCAAUCGCCGUCAUCACCACCGUCUGCUCUGCCAAGUAAAUCAACGUUAUCUGACGCCUCAGGUUCAAACAUUUAAGGAUUAAUUGUAAAUAAUCUUUCCUGGGAGCCCUCGUCAUCGUUAACGUCAUGAAAACGCGAUCCUGAACGAGUACUUUCGCUGGAAAUAUCACUAUCGGCGGUGCCGUUCGCCAUGUCUUCUGUUGCCUCCUGUAAAUGAUGUCACACUUCCGGGUUUGGGAAGGCAGUAUUGAAGGAGAGCUAAAAUACUAAAAAAAAACAUACGAAAAAACCCCGCAUAUUUUCUCGCAGUUACGCGUUAGAAAUGACAUAGUCGUUUUGCCGAACUCGUCCACAGCUUAAAUUUGUCAAACUACACCGAAAUCCGACAAACUCUUCAUCUGCCCUUUAAUUGAAAAUGCAAGGUGAGCUAAUACGCUUCAAUUCGGCACUGGUUGCGAAGCAACGACAGGUUUUGGGAACGUUGUUGUUGAUGAUGUUACCUUGUCUAUGACAUUUAUGUUGUGGUCUGGGCAAUCGGAAAGCAGUUAACUUUGAGCUCUUGGUGUCUUUCCUGGUUUCUGAGACACUAACAGGUGGUUGUGGACAGUGGGACAGUGGUUAUUUUAAGGAGGAUCAUGGAAGGUGGGGAUGAAUGGGAACCUGAGAUUCACUUCUCCAAGCCCUGCAGCAUUGAAAGAAAGUGUUGCUGUCACAACAGACUGAGUGUGGGAAGCCAGAGCAGCUGUGUGAACACAGACACUGCAAUAUCUCGCUUCUUCAAGCUCUAUGUAGAAGGCACAGACUGAAACAAAUUACAUCACAUUGAGUGAUCGAUGAGGAUUUUUUUUUUUUUUUCUAAAUCGCACGGAAACAAUACUCAAAAAGGAAAUCACAAUUCAAAUUGCCUCCAAAGCCAUCUUAUUGUUCAUUAUAGACUCCCAUACACACUUACGCACAACCAUCAAGGGAUUCAAAACCAAAGCACACUUUGAUCACAAUUUCUAACUAGCUAUUUCCAAAAAUGUUUCAUAGUAGAACAAAGCUGAAACUGGCUUUAAGCACUACUGUGUAGUAGAUUUACUCCUGGUAUUAUGUCCUCUUCAUACGACAAGGCGGUUUUAUCCACAGGGCUUUUUCAGCUCUCCCACCUGGAUUAUGAUGUCGAUGCCAGAGGUCAGGGGUUUUUGUGCUUUGAGUGGAGGUUUGGUGAGAGUGUGUAAAAAGGACGUCGAAAUGUCAGCAAGAAUGAGGCGGGACGACAAGAGAUUUGGGAGGUGAGUUAGCAGGUGCUGGAAGCAUUACCGUAGACCACCUGCCUCUGUUACACCAAACACUCCAGGCUCCAUAUGGAAAAGACAGAUGCGAGUAAGACAUCAAGUGCGCUUGGAUUCAGAAGUCAUCUCCUUCUGGAGUUUUGGAGCUAUGAUAUUCUGGAUCAAACGGUUUAUAGAUGAUCAAACUUCAAGUGGUUAGUUUUGCCAUUUCAUAUUCUGAUUGUCAUUAAUAUUUGGCAUCUCUGACGGUCUUCUUCAAGCAAAUGUACCGCAAGUGACUUAAUCAAAAUGAUUGAUACCUGAUAUUUGUCUUAUAUUGUAGUUAGGCUUAUUUUUUCUUUCUAUUGUAGCAUCUUAUGUCAAAUAGCUGUUUGCACAUACAAUUUUUCUAAUUCUUUUCUUUCUUAUCUAAUAUACAUACGACGGAAAACACUCAGGUGACUUGAAGUUCCGCUCUGAGACCCCCAAUUUGGCCACACUAAAAAUUGUCCUAUAUGCAUGUGUGAUACAUCAUUGGAAAGCUUUAAAUCUAACAUCUCUGGGGAAAGAAACAUUUUGAACAGGAGGGACAUUUUUUUUUAAACAGCAAAACCCUAACUGUGAGAGCACGCGAGAGCAUUAAAGACACCAUGAUUUUAACGAGAUAUUAUCGGGUACUUACCUUGUUUCGAUCCAAAAACUAAGUCUAGCAUGGAUCAUCGAGUGUCAAAACACAGAUUUGAAUGGCCACAGCCGGACUUUUGGGGGAUUUUAUGGGUGAAACAUGGUCAUAUAACUAGGGUCGUGAUGCAGAAAUCGCAGACAUUAGGGAGUGGUCGAGAUGUUCUAUUUCAUAUAUUUACCCUUUUAAACGUCUUUGUUUGAAUCGAUUAUCAUCUCAAAUAACGGGGAAAAUGCGACAGCAACAAAAAAAAUACAAUACACGAUAGUUAUGAGGUAGAUAUCCGUGACUUAUUUACAGCUACCACAUUUUUCAUUGUGACGUAAUUUGUUUAGAAGUUUAAAAUAUGCAAGUGAAUAAUUUUUUAUUCUUUUUUUUUUUUUAAAACAAAGUAUUAGACAUCAAUUAAUGAGUCUAAGCUAAAAAUGACAGACAUUUCAAUAAUAAAUACAAUUACUGAGCUUCUUUUUAUGGCUGGGUUAAAACAAAAGCGGUUGUGCAACGUCUGUAAACAGGGGUUUCCAGGGUAAAACGGACAAAUUAAAAAUAGUUCGGGGGUUAAUGCGCCAUGAAUCUGCUGUGACAGCAUAUAGACAUAUUGUUCUAUCAAACACAACAGUUGUUUUGGCUUAAAAUACAGCAGUUUAUUUUAAAGAGUGUUGCAAGACUGCUUUUUCACUCUUGUUUUCCGCCAUAUACAUAGACUUCAUAAUGUAUUGACCUGACACAUUCCCCAUUCACUGUGUCACACCUUCCCGAAGGGGGCCGUCCAACACUCUGCUUCAUUUAUUGGCCGUCGGUCACAUGCAGCGAUCUAACGCCAGAUUUAGGUUGAAAAAAUACAAAAGCUGUACUGCAUACAAACAGGAAUGAUUGUCUCAGGACUGAUUUGUUCGAGGAUUCAUUGUAAUUAUGAUAUUUUCCAUACCAUGCAUGCAUUUGGACACAAUGGGAGAAAUUAGCAGCUAAAGCAUUGGCAUUGUACUUCGCAAUAUUUAUGUAAAAUAACUGCUAACUGCCCGUUUUUUUGCUUUUAACCAAGAAUCGAGACACUUUUAGGUCCAUAUCUAUAAAGAAUUCAGGGAUUUAAUAAUUAAUUCACAAGAAUUUUCAACGGAAAAAUCUCUUUGUUUACAUAUGGCCGCCGCUAAUUUCCUUACUAACUAGCCUCAUAGUUCGCAAUAUUUACGUAAAACAAAUGCUACCUGCACGUUUUUUUUUUGCUUUUUACCAAGAAUCGACACUGUUUUACGUCCAUAUCUAUAAAGAAUUCAGGCAUUUAAGCAUUUAUUCACAAGUUCAACGGAAAAAGCUCUUUGUUUACAUACAGUAUGGCAGCCGCUAAUUUUGUUACUUACUAGCCUCAUAGUUCGCAAUACGUACAUACUUUAACCAAGAAUUGAGAUUGCUUUACAUCUAUAUCUUUAAAGAAUUAAGGGAUUUAAGCAUUUAUGCACUAGAAGUUCCAAUGGAAAAAGUUCUUUGUGUUUCCACUCAGUCAGCUUUGACGGAGAAAGGCCCACUAUGAAUCGGCCCCACGCUUCGUGUCCCAUCAAUACAUUAUGAAGUGUAUGGUGUGUAAGGCGGAAAACACUCUGGUGACUUGAAGUUCCGCUCUGAAACCCCCAAUUUGGCCAACUUUCAAAAUUGUCCGAUAUGCAUGUGUGGUACAUCAUUGAAAAGCUUAAAAUCUCUAUUUUUGGGGGGAAGAAAAUAUUUGAACAGGAAGGCAUUGUAAAAAUAAUGAAAUACAUUUAAACCCUAUCAGGAGGUGAGAGCAUGAAAGAGCAGAAUUACAGACUUUAACGAGAUAUUAUCGCGUAUUGUUUUGAUCCAAAAACUCCAUGUUGCAUGUAUCACUGAGUGUCAAGACACAGCUGUGAAUGGCCACAGCUGGAUUUUUUGGGGAUUUUAUGGGUGAAACAUGGUAAUAUAACAUCAAGGAGUGGUCUAGAUGUUCUAUUUCAUAUAUUUACCCUUUUAAACCUUUUUUAAAAAUAUUUUUUUCUUUGUUUGGAUCGAUUAUCAUCUCAAAUAACGAGGAAAAUGCGACAGCAUUAAAAAAAAAAAAAAACAAUUAAGCGAUAGUUAUGAAGUAGAUAUCCGUGACUUUUUUACAGACGCCAUUUUUUUUAAUGUGAUGUAAUUUGUUUAAAUUUAAAAUAUGCGAAUGAAUAAUUAAAAAAACAUUUUUUUUGGUUUUUUUAAACAAAAUUUUAGACAUCAAUUAAAGAUUCUAAGCUAAAAAUGACAGAAAUUUUGACUAAAUAUAAAAAAAAAAUUACCUUCAUUUUAUGGCUGCGUUGAAACAAUAGCGGUUGCGCGACAUCUGUAAACGGGGGUUUCCAGGGUAAAACAGACACAUUAAGAAUAGGUCGGGGCCAUGAAUCUGCUAUGGCAGCAUAUAGACAUAUUGUUCUAUCAAACAAAACAGUUGUUUUGGCUUAAAUACAGCAGUUUGUUUUAAAGAGGAGUGCAA